rnacentral:tRNA from 1 species
GGAGAGUUGGUAGAGUGGUUUAAUACAGCAGUUUGCUAAACUGUCAGUCAUUUUAAAUAGUGGCUCAAGGGUUCAAAUCCCUUACUCUCCU